rfam:Capsicum annuum cultivar Zunla-1 chromosome 4, whole genome shotgun sequence
AGGGAUGUAGCUCAAAUGGUAGAGUGCUCUCUUUGCAUGCGAGAGGCACGGGGUUCAAUCCCCCGUAUCUCCA